rnacentral:tRNA from 1 species
GGUUGUGGCUUAGUGAUAAGAGCGCUCGCCUCGCAUGUGCAAGGCCCUGGGUUUGAUCCUCAGCACCA